CAAGUUAACAUUCUCUCUCUUCCUAUCCUAUGUGUAAACUACCGGGCAUCUUUAUUUGUGGUGCAAAGGGCUGAGCAACGCAAGAGGGAGGUAGAGGAGAAAAGGACCACCCCAGCCCAAAAAAAAAAGGAAACAAAUAAAUAAGAGGAGAAAACAACAAGAGGAGAGAAAGAGAGGAAAUCAGGAGAGCAAGGAGGAGAGGAGGAAGAGGCCAGAGCUCCAUAGACCGGGAUCAAGGAGGAGGAGAAGGCGAGUACUGCUAAAUUAACAAGCUAGCCAGCCCUCAAUAAA